AACGACUCUCGGCAACGGAUAUCUCGGCUCUCGCAUCGAUGAAGAACGCAGCAAAAUGCGAUACUUGGUGUGAAUUGCAGAAUCCCGCGAACCAUCGAGUUUUUGAACGCAAGUUGCGCCCAAAGCCUUUUGGCCGAGGGCACGUCUGCCUGGGUGUCACGC
rnacentral:rRNA from 1 species